rnacentral:rRNA from 1 species
GACGAACGCUGGCGGCGUGCCUAACACAUGCAAGUCGAACGGGAUCCAUGAGAGCUUGCUCUCGGAAGAUCUAGUGGCGAACGGGUGAGUAACACGUGAGAAACCUGCCCUGGAGUGGGGAAUAACUCGGGGAAACCCGAGCUAAUACCGCAUACCCUUGGAUGAUCGCAUGGUCGACCAAGGAAAGAUUUAUCGCUCUAGGAGGGUCUCGCGGCCUAUCAGCUAGUUGGUGGGGUAAUGGCCUACCAAGGCAACGACGGGUAGCUGGUUUGAGAGAACGAUCAGCCACACUGGGACUGAGACACGGCCCAGACUCCUACGGGAGGCAGCAGUGGGGAAUCUUGCGCAAUGGGCGAAAGCCUGACGCAGCAACGCCGCGUGCGGGAUGACGGGCCUUCGUGGUUGUAAACCGCUUCAGCAGGGACGAAAAUGACGGUACC